UCAGACUGCAGGGCCUGGAAGGCUGUCUGUGGUCUAUGCAGGUCUCACUACUGUCUGGGAAAGGAAACAGCACAGCAAGCCCCUUGCUUUGGGCAAAGGCCUCCCCACUCCAGCUCACAGUCCCCUCCCUGGUCCCCAGGAGGACUCUCUGCUGGCUCUGGACCCCAGUCUUCACACCAGGGCUCUGCAGCAGCCAUAUCACUGGAGCUGGUAGUGGGAAGGAUCCGAGCCUCUCCCAGGACUUCUGCAUUUGCCGGCCUUUGCCUGAGCUGGGGAGGUGGGCUCCUGACUAAGUGGGCCUCUGCUUACGGUCUGCAGGGAGGCAGGCCUGGUUCAACUGGAAAUGUAGAUACCAGGGGCCUACGAGAGGGAGAGAAGGGAGACUAGCUACCUGAUUCUCCUGGAAGCUAAGGGACCAGGUCUCCCCCCUUCCUGUCCCCUGGAUGUCCUUGAAGCUAUUUUUAUGUGUUGCUGGAAACCAGAAUUACAGCCAGAGCUGAGGUGCUGGGAGGUUUCCCGGGCGCUCUGGGUCUUGCCUCAGGGAGCAAGGGCCUUUACGGGAAGAUUGGUGGAGGUGGGCCAGGAAUCCACAGUGCAGGCCAUGGAGCGCACCAUGAGCUGGUCCCGGUUCACACAGGAAUCCUGUGAACUGGUACUGAAGCCCAAGGACUUGAUCUAGGGAUGGAAGAACCACUGGGCAUGAAGGAUAGGUGGAAAAGCCUGUCCCUUGGCAAGGCACACAUGAUGCCAGAAUGACAGCAGCGACGGCGCCAGCAGCCGCGGACGCCGGAAGCCGCGGACGUCGGAAGCCACUGACACCGGAAGCUGCUUCGCGUUUCUCAGAAUGGCUCGUGAAUCCAACUCUCACCUUCUCCCCACUUUAUGGGUGAGGACCUCGGACUCAAAAGCUAUACCUGGCUUUUGAAUAGACUGGAGGCCGGGGAAGUUUCUCAUGAUCCCUGCUUGAAGUGGGGUGGGGGCUAGCCCCGGCUGUUGUUGAGGUGAGGCAUGGCGGCUCUUCCUGGAGGAGGCCGAGGCUGGUCAGGACUUGGGUGGGGCUAGGCAGGCCGCUGGGAAGCCACUUCCUGCAUGCUCUUCCCCAGUACGGCUUCCUUCCAGACCCUUCCUGUUUCCUUUUCCUCACUGCUCAGCCAAGCGAUUGUCUCCCUCAGCCCUCUCUGGGCCUGCCCAGGCAGGAUGUGGAGGCAGGAGGUUCGGUUUACAAAAGUCAAGUGUGGAUUAAACACCGUGAACUACA
rnacentral:sRNA from 1 species